UAGGUCGUAGUUUAAUUAGAAUGUAGGCUUUGGGUGUCUAUGGUGCCUUAUCUGGGUUGACCUAA
rnacentral:tRNA from 1 species